rnacentral:rRNA from 1 species
AUUGAACGCUGGCGGCAUGCUUUACACAUGCAAGUCGAACGGCAGCACGGGUGCUUGCACCUGGUGGCGAGUGGCGGACGGGUGAGUAAUACAUCGGAACGUGUCCUGAAGUGGGGGAUAACGCAUCGAAAGAUGUGCUAAUACCGCAUAUACUCUGAGGAGUAAAGUAGGGGAUCGAAAGACCUUAUGCUUUUGGAGCGGCCGAUGUCUGAUUAGCUAGUUGGUGGGGUAAGUUGCCCACCAAGGCGACGAUCAGUAGUUGGUCUGAGAGGACGACCAGCCACACUGGGACUGAGACACGGCCCAGACUCCUACGGGAGGCAGCAGUGGGGAAUUUUGGACAAUGGGCGCAAGCCUGAUCCAGCAAUGCCGCGUGAGUGAAGAAGGCC